rnacentral:rRNA from 1 species
GACGAACGCUGGCGGCGUGCCUAAUACAUGCAAGUCGAACGCAGUGGGGACGGGUGAGUAACACGUGGGUAACCUCCCAUCAGAGGGGAUAACCCUUGGUAACAGGUGCUAAACCGAUACUGAUGGAUGGACCCGCGGUGCAUUAGCUAGUUGGUGAGGGAACGGCUCACCAAGGCCACGAUGCAUAGCGGACCGGUGAGGGUGAGCGGCCACACUGGGACUGAGAAACGGCCCAGACUCCGACGUGAGGCAGCAGUAGGGAAUCAUCGGCAAUGGGCGAAAGUCUGACCGAGCAACGCCGCGGGAGUGAAGAAGGUUUGCGGAUCGUAAAACUCUGUUGUUAGGGAAGCGGUAUCUAACCAGAAAGCCACGGCUAACUACGUGCCAGCAGACGCGGUAAUGC